GAUGAACGCUGGCGGCGUGCCUAAUACAUGCAAGUCGAGCGAACAGACGAGGAGCUUGCUCCUCUGACGUUAGCGGCUGACGGGUGAGUAACACGUGGAUAACCUACCUAUAAGACUGGGAUAACUUCGGGAAACAAGAGCUAAUACCGGAUAAUAUAUUGAACCGCAUGGUUCAAUAGUUAAAGACGGUUUUGCUGUCACUUAUAGAUGGAUCCGCGCCGCAUUAGCUAGUUGGUAAGGUAACGGCUUACCAAGGCAACGAUGCGUAGCCGACCUGAGAGGGUGAUCGGCCACACUGGAACUGAGACACGGUCCAGACUCCUACGGGAGGCAGCAGUAGGGAAUAUUCCGCAAUGGGCGAAAGCUUGACGGAGCAACGCCGCGUGAGUGAUGAAGGUCUUCGGAUCGUAAAACUCUGUUAUUAGGGAAGAACAAAUGUGUAAGUAACUAUGCACGUCUUGACGGUACCUAAUGAGAAAGCCACGGCUAACUACGUG
rnacentral:rRNA from 1 species